rnacentral:rRNA from 1 species
AGCGAACGCUGGCGGUAGGCCUAACACAUGCAAGUCGAACGGCAGCACAGUAAGAGCUUGCUCUUACGGGUGGCGAGUGGCGGACGGGUGAGUAAUACAUCGGAAUCUACUUUUUCGUGGGGGAUAACGUCGGGAAACUCACGCUAAUACCGCAUACGACCUACGGUUGAAAGCCGGGGAUUUUCGGACCUUGCGCGAGUGAAUGAGCCGCUGUCGGAUUAGCUAGUUGGCGGGGUAAAGGCCCACCAAGGCGGCGAUCCGUAGCUGGUCUGAGAGGAUGAUCAGCCACAUGGGAAGGGAGACACGGUCAAGACUCCUACGGGAAGCAGCAGUGGGGAAUAGUGGACGAUGGGGGAGAGCCUGAUCCAGCCAGACCGAGUGGGUGAAGAAGGACUUCGGGUUGGAAAGCCAUGUUGUUGGGAAAGAAAAGCAGCAGGUUAAUACCACGCUGUACUGACGGUACCCAAAGAAUAAGCACCGGCUAACUUCGUG